UGAUUCGUGUUGGGCAGUUGCUUACCCCAUUUAGUGGGGAAAGAGGAAAGUCCGAACUCCGCAGAACGAGGUGCCGGGUAACUCCCGGGGACUCCAGUACGCAAGUAUUGAGUCACGGAAAGUGCCACAGAGACCAUACCGCCCGGCAUUAGCCGGGUAAGGGUGAAAAGGCGAGGUAAGAGCUCACCGCUCCGAUGGUAACAUCGGGGGCAGGGCAAACCCCACCUGGUGCAAGGUCGAGCAGAAGGGAUUCCGAUGCGACCGGUUUAUAUCCGGUUUUUCGGUUCGAAGUUGUUCGCUUCGAUUUCUUCCUUUAUUGGAAGAAUAACCUUCGGGUAGAUCGCUUGAUCGCGGCAGUAAUGCCGUGGCUAGAUAAAUAACUGCCGCCCCGAUCUUAUCGGGGAACAGAAUUCGGCUUACAGACACGGAAUCAUCAU
rnacentral:RNase_P_RNA from 1 species